UCGCCCACAAUGCCCUCAACGGUUUCAACACGGAUGUGGCUGGGUGCGUGGUGUGAGCGGAUACGAUGCACUUGCCGGUCGGCGUAUGCCGAAGCCCUGUGAAGGGGCAUCCCUGCUGGGGCCGUAGUCGGCGCAGGGUCGCCGUCUCAGUCGGUUCCUUCUUUGGUCUCCUCGCGCUAACCCCGUAGCGUGUGGUUUUUAGCGGGCUCCAGGCCCGCUUUUUUU
rnacentral:ncRNA from 18 species